rnacentral:misc_RNA from 1 species
AAACUGCGAUAAGUAGCGUGAAUUGCAGACGCUUUGAACGUUAAACUUUCGAACGCACAUUGCGCCGUAGGAGUCCUACCCUACGGCACAUCUGGUUGAGGGUCGUGAUCGUAAACAGCCGCAAAGUUGCUGUAUCUAUAGACUAAUUGGUGAAUCACGAGUCCGGCUGCGUCGCCAAGUCAGUCGGACGUGUUUUGCCAUCAUGCUCUAGAGGAUAGUGCUUAAUCGCGAAAGGUUAGGCUACUACCUACCACACGGAUGGGCUAUCAGCUGAGGCGAUAGAUUCCGACCUUAGGGUAUCAUACUACGUUUUCGUAUAUGCUCUUCGGCGUCUGGAAUACAGCUGGUUGGUUUCGUACGUGCAUGGUGAAAGUAAAUCGCUUUCCCGACCUCAACUCAG